rnacentral:rRNA from 1 species
GAUGAACGCUGGCGGCGUGCCUAAUACAUGCAAGUCGAACGCUUCACUUCGGUGAAGAGUGGCUAACGGGUGAGCAAUACAUAAGUAACCUGGCAUCUACAGGGGGCUAACUGAUGGAAACGUCAGCUAAGACCGCAUAGGUGUAGAGAUCGCAUGAACUCUAUCUGAAAAGUGCUACGGGACUGGCAGAUGAUGGACUUAUGGCGCAUUAGCUUGUUGGUGGGGUAACGGCCUUCCAAGGCGACGAUGCGUAGCCGAACUGAGAGGGGGACGGGCCACACGGGGAGUGGGACGGGGACAAGGCUCCUGCGAGAGGGAGCAGUCGGGAAUUUUAGGCAGUGGGGGAAACUCUGACAGAGCGACGCCGCGUGAAGGAAGAAGUAACUCGUUACGGAAAGAUCUGUCAUGGGUGAAGAACGGUGGACAUAGGGAAUGAUGUCCGAGUGACGGUAAUGGAUAAGAAAGCCACGGCUAACUACGUG